GCAGUGUGUGUUGGGACGGAGUGAGAUGAGGGCCAAUAUGCGAGGGGUAGAUACUGUGUGUAAAAAUCAUCGGCUGUCUUUGUGGGUUUGAGGCAGGCUCUGUUCUAUAUUUGGCUGUGGAUAUCGUGAAAAGGGAGGACAAUUCACAGAUUGCAAGGGUAGUCAACUGCUGGUUCUUCAGUCUGCAGUGCGUCUGGUUUUUACGUUUUUGUGGAGCCAGCGCACAGCCCCUCCUCUGUCCCCAGACACCAAGGACUACAGACUUGCAGUAGUCAGGAUAUCAUCCUCCGCUGCAUCUUCAAACUGCCCUCUGGAAAAAAAAACCCACAACCCCUGCACCGAGAAUGAAGCACCCAGACAAUUCCAAACUCCGACAAGCCUCGAACUCUAACCCUAGCUCAUCGACCCCAUUCCUCUGCCUCAUCCUCCUCCUCCUCGUCGCGUCCGCACCCCAAAACACGUCAGCCGGCCCGGAUUUACUGCGCAUCCAAGCCUAUUUAAGCAACCAUUGCGGACACCUAUCAUAUUUCGUCCAGCAGGCUUGCGAUGUGUACAACUCACCCAACUGUUGCACCAUCUUCUCCUUGGUAGACUCCUGUCUCUCUUCCUCCUGUGACGGGGUCUAUGACGUGAUUUCCAUCCAGUCCCUUCAGAGUGUCAUGGAGGAUGUUACGUUCUGUGCCGCCAUCAGGGAUCUAGGGCGAGAGUUCUGCUCUUUCAAGGAGAGUGCGCAGUGCCAGGCUCUCCAGUGUUUUAUGAAUCUCGCCUGCUUCAACGGCAUCGGUGAGUUAAUGCUAUAUCAUUUUUGCCUUAAAGUUGAUCUGCUAUGAUUUCUAAAAUGCAUUUCCCUUGACCAAAUAUAGAGCAACGGUGAUGUUUAUGUUAGUCAAACAUCAUAGAAUAAAUUGUAGUAAUUAGUUAUUAAAAUAAAUAUCAGGUAAACUAUGGUAACCAAGCAAACAUCCCCAUAUUGGAAAACUUUAUCUAAUUUCAAAAGUUAUUUUCUCUCCUAGCUUUUAUCAGUUGGGUUUCUGUUUUUUUUUUCAAGAAAAACCGGCAGCACAUGAAAUGCUAUGAGCAAACAGAACGAAUUUUUUAAUAUUGCGGUUAUGAAAAUAAUUAUGGACCCUGGAAAUAAUAUGCCUUAGGGACACACAAAAAAACCCUCCCCCCCCUCGAACUUUCCAACAAAAUCAA